rnacentral:rRNA from 1 species
GACGAACGCUGGCGGCGUGCCUAAUACAUGCAAGUAGGACGCAGUUGCGAACGGGUGAGUAACGCGUAGGUAACUACCUAUUAGAGGGGGAUAACUAUUGGAAACGACAGCUAAUACCGCAUACUAGUAGAUGGACCUGCGUUGUAUUAGCUAGUAGGUAGGGUAAUGGCCUCCCUAGGCAACGAUACAUAGACGACCUGCGAUGGUGGUCGGCCACAAGGGGAAUGAGACACAGCCCCGACUCCCUCGGUGGUCAGCAAGAGGGAAUCUUCGGCAAUGGGGGGAACCCUGACCGAGAAACGCGACGUGAUUGAAGAAGUUUUUCGGAUCGUAAAGCUCUGUUGUUAAGGAAGCGGUACUUAACCAGAAAGGAACGGCUAACUACGUGCCAGCAGCCGCGGUAAUAC